rnacentral:rRNA from 1 species
UAGGGAAUCUUCCACAAUGGACGCAAGUCUGAUGGAGCAACGCCGCGUGAGUGAAGAAGGCUUUCGGGUCGUAAAACUCUGUCGUUGGAGAAGAAUGGUCGGCAGAGUAACUGUUGUCAGCGUGACGGUAUCCAACCAGAAAGCCACGGCUAACUACGUGCCAGCAGCCGCGGUAAUACGUAGGUGGCAAGCGUUAUCCGGAUUUAUUGGGCGUAAAGCGAGCGCAGGCGGUUUUUUAAGUCUGAUGUGAAAGCCCUCGGCUUAACCGAGGAAGCGCAUCGGAAACUGGGAAACUUGAGUGCAGAAGAGGACAGUGGAACUCCAUGUGUAGCGGUGAAAUGCGUAGAUAUAUGGAAGAACACCAGUGGCGAAGGCGGCUGUCUGGUCUGUAACUGACGCUGAGGCUCGAAAGCAUGGGUAGCGAACAGGAUUAGAUACCCUGGUAGUCCAUGCCGUAAACGAUGAAUGCUAGGUGUUGGAGGGUUUCCGCCCUUGCAGUGCCGCAGCUAACGCAUUAAGCAUUCCGCCUGGGGAGUACGACCGCAAGGUUGAAAC